rnacentral:rRNA from 1 species
GUAGGUGGCAAGCGUUGUCCGGAAUUAUUGGGCGUAAAGCGCGCGCAGGCGGUUCUUUAAGUCUGAUGUGAAAGCCCACGGCUCAACCGUGGAGGGUCAUUGGAAACUGGAGAACUUGAGUACAGAAGAGGUAAGCGGAAUUCCACGUGUAGCGGUGAGAUGCGUAGAGAUGUGGAGGAACACCAGUGGCGAAGGCGGCUUUCUGGUCUGUAACUGACGCUGAGGCGCGAAAGCGUGGGGGAGCAAACAGGAUUAGAUACCCUGGUAGUCCACGCCGUAAACGAUGAGUGCUAAGUGUUAGGGGGUUUCCGCCCCUUAGUGCUGCAGCUAACGCAUUAAGCACUCCGCCUGGGAGUACGGCCGCAAGGCUG